UACGGAGGGUGCAAACGUUGCUCGGAAUCAUUGGGCGUAAAGCGCACGUAGGCGGUCCGCUAAGUCGGGUGUGAAAGCCCUCGGCUCAACCGAGGAAGUGCAUUCGAAACUGACGGACUUGAGUAUGGAAGAGGGUCGUGGAAUUCCCGGUGUAGAGGUGAAAUUCGUAGAUAUCGGGAGGAACACCAGUGGCGAAGGCGGCGACCUGGGCCAAUACUGACGCUGAGGUGCGAAAGCGUGGGGAGCAAACAGG
rnacentral:rRNA from 1 species